rnacentral:lncRNA from 1 species
UUAUCGGACAACUCGGGAGAUAUUUCCUUCAACUGGUAUCAGAGCCAGGUUGGCCGAUGGAAUUGGCCUAUAAUAUCUAAAAUUAUGCAUGAUUUAAUUUUUAAAUUUAGAUUAGAUCUAGAUUUAUUGAUAAAAUAUCAAUCUUGUGCUGAAUUAUAAGGUUGUCCUGCUAUAAGGUUAACCCCUUAUAGUGAAAAGGUUGUCCUAGCACAAAAUUGAGAUUAAUUUGUAUCAUAAAAUAAAUAGUUUAUUUUUGUGAAAUUAUGCAUAAUUGAUGUUUAUGAAAUUUCUGUUUUAAAUUUAUUAUGACUACAAAAUUUAAAUAUAAAUUGUUUAUAUUUGGAAUAAAUUGACACCUUGAAUCCAUGAUCAUAAUGCAUUUAAUAAAGAAUUAAAUGUUGAAUUUAAAAUUUAAAAUUUGAAUUUCAAAUAAAGAUUUAAAAUUCAAAAUUUGAAAUUCGAAUUAAAAUUUAAAUUUGAACAUGGGAUUUGGGGCAUGGGUUAGCACAAUC